AACUAAAUAUUAGCGCCAGAACUUAAGAGGAGCGUUUAUCUUAAGUUGACGAGGAUGGGGUUUAUCGAAGAUUCGGCGGGUUCCCCACGGUAUCGCACUACCGUUAACGAUUAGCAAAACUAUAAAGUGAUUUAUGGCACAAAUCUAAUCCGGUGUUAAGA
rnacentral:ncRNA from 1 species